rnacentral:rRNA from 1 species
GAUGAACGCUGGCGGCGUGCCUAAUACAUGCAAGUCGAGCGAACAGACGAGGAGCUUGCUCCUCUGACGUUAGCGGCGGACGGGUGAGUAACACGUGGAUAACCUACCUAUAAGACUGGGAUAACUUCGGGAAACCGGAGCUAAUACCGGAUAAUAUAUUGAACCGCAUGGUUCAAUAGUGAAAGACGGUUUUGCUGUCACUUAUAGAUGGGUCCGCGCCGCAUUAGCUAGUUGGUAAGGUAACAGCUUACCAAGGCAACGAUGCGUAGCCGACCUGAGAGGGUGAUCGGCCACACUGGAACUGAGACACGGUCCAGACUCCUACGGGAGGCAGCAGUAGGGAAUCUUCCGCAAUGGGCGAAAGCCUGACGGAGCAACGCCGCGUGAGUGAUGAAGGUCUUCGGAUCGUAAAACUCUGUUAUUAGGGAAGAACAAAUGUGUAAGUAACUAUGCACGUCUUGACGGUACCUAAUCAGAAAGCCACGGCUAACUACGUG